rnacentral:lncRNA from 1 species
AACACUUCCGGACGGGAAUUACAUGUUCAAGAAUUGUUUUGAAAUGUACAAGGAAGAUAUUGGCAUUCUCCUUGCGCCAUCAGCUCUUCAACAUCUGCGAGCUGCAAAGGCUCUCCUGUAUGACAAGGAAGCAGUAGACGCGGCAUUCGCAAUGCUCAUUUUAUGUGCUUCCAAGGGAUGCGGCCAAAGGACGACCUGCAGAUGUGCGAGUCACGUUUAUGGGAGCUGCAAAAAAGAAUUAAAGUGUAUCCCCAGUG